AGUGAACGCUGGCGGUAGGCCUAACACAUGCAAGUCGAACGGCAGCACAGUAAGAGCUUGCUCUUACGGGUGGCGAGUGGCGGACGGGUGAGGAAUACAUCGGAAUCUACUUUUUCGUGGGGGAUAACGUAGGGAAACUUACUCUAAUACCGCAUAUGACCUACGGGUGAAAGCAGGGGAUCUUCGCACCUUGCGCGAUUGAAUUAGCCGAUGUCGGAUUAGCUAGUUGGCGGGGUAAAGGCCCACCAAGGCGACGAUCCGUAGCUGGUCUGAGAGGAUGAUCAGCCACACUGGAACUGAGACACGGUCCAGAGUCCUACGGGAGGCAGCAGUGGGGAAUAUUGGACAAUGGGCGCAAGCCUGAUCCAGCCAUACCGCGUGGGUGAAGAAGGCCUUCGGGUUGUAAAGCCCUUUUGUUGGGAAAGAAAAGCAGCAGGUUAAUACCCCGCUGUUCUGACGGUACCCAAAGAAUAAGCACCGGCUAACUUCGUG
rnacentral:rRNA from 1 species